rnacentral:pre_miRNA from 1 species
UGGCUAUGCGCUUUGGCAGUGUGGUUAGCUGGUUGUGUGGCCAAUUGACAAAUCACAGCCACUAUCUUCACUGCCGCCGCGACAAGC